rnacentral:lncRNA from 1 species
CUGGAAACCUUGCAGCGGGAGUAAUCAGAACCCAACGGCUGCCUUGGUGAGCCCAGGACACACCAGGAAUCUCUUCUUGGCAAAUGAUCCAGAGCACAGAGAGGAUCACGGAGCCGGUUGUCUUGCAGAUAAUGUUAUCAACUGGAUAAUUUCUCUGAAGAAUCAAAGAACUGGCAGCAUAUACUGGUGGCGCAUGCUAAUCAGGAAAUUUUUUCCAAGGAUAAGGAGAGUUGAUAUAAAUCGCACUUGACCAGAC